UGGUGUGAAACUCAAAAGGGGGAGUGAUAGGCUUUUAACUUAUAAGAAGUUGGUUCGAGUCCAAUCGCACCAA
rnacentral:tRNA from 1 species